rnacentral:tRNA from 3 species
GCCGGGGUGGCGGAAUGGCAGACGCGCAGGUCUCAAAAACCUGUCCCGCAUUUGCGGGAUGGAGGUUCGACUCCUCUCCCCGGCA